rnacentral:lncRNA from 1 species
CUUUUCAAGGCUCUCUUGGGACAAAAAUGCAACUAUUCAUAUUAUAAGCACUUGGUAUAUAUAUGCAUGCAAAUGAAAGAAACGACACAUACAUAUCCAAGGCGUAAGAUUUGUGCUUGUUUGUCAUUAUUCCAAUAAGGAAUGCCUGAAAAUGAUAAGAAAUAGUAAAAAAUUAAUUAACAAGUUGUUUUGUAAGUAUGAAGGCACUGCGCAAUGCAAUUGAAUUGUAAGAAAUUGAUACAUACCAUAUGAUGAGUCUUCUAAUUUGCGUAUGAAUGCCAAUUGAGAGAGAGCACCUGUAAUGUAAUAUAAUUUCUUAGUAUACCAAAACAACAGUAGAAGGAAAAGUAUAAAGAGACAUACAUAUACAUACUCUUACUAACUUCUCAUAAUUAUCAAACAUUUCCCUCUGACCACUACUUCCUUAAUAUGAGUGAUUGACAACCACAGGGGGAAUUGGGGGAAUAUCCUCACCAUGGUUCGUCCAAUGAUAAUAAUCAAUCAUGAAUCCCUUCCUAUAUAGAUGUGUCUUCACUGUUAUUGGACUUUCAAAUUUCAGACAUUUGCAUNNNNNAAUAUCCCCUCUUCCGAUGUUAUUUACAUCUUGUUCCAAAGCAAACUUAAUAAACUCAUCAACUCCGAUUUCAAAUUCUUCGGUGAUAUUCUUGUGUGAAUCAACUCUAUUAUUGAUCCACUUUCUAUUUUUAGGUACUUCCAUCACUGAUGCACUAUUUAUUUACACAAUAAAGAAAUAAAGAAAAUAACUCUAGAAAAACAAGCUAACAUAAAAAGUCUAGAAAAUCACAGCAACAAGAAAAUAAAACAAAUGGAAUAAAGCACUGCAUCAUGAAAUUUCUACAAGCUAACAUAAUCCAUCAUUAAUGCAAGAACUUAUCCUUUUCCAAGUUUUGGAGUAACAAAAGCAAUAAACAAAAGAGCCUAUAGAUAAAGAGUAUAAGCAUGUAGCAGGAUAAUUUUACUCUUCUACAUUCAACAACAAAUUAACAACCUGCAGGUCAUGUUUUCUAGUACUCCUAUCCUACUACUUCAUAUCAGAGACAGAGAGGUUCACAUGCUAAAUCUUAGCUGAAGAAGAAUUCAAAUCAUAUCGCACAUUCUCUCUGCAACAAAAAAUAUUUUAAAUAUUCGUCUGAUAUUUUCACAAUAAUAUCAUAAUACUGUUACUUCUUUUUAAAUACCUCACUGCAUNNNNNNNGAUACCACUACACAUUUUAAUCAAAUGGUAUAUAAUAAUAUGGCAGUAACAGAGAACAAUAUUAAAUGAUAUACAAAUUGGGGGGAAAUAUUUUCUCUAGAAAAAUGUAGCACAAAGUUUCUCAUCAUCUAGAUUAACUGUAUCUUCCGUAUGCGACAUAGUCCAUUGACAUCGUGUUUCAAUUACAUAUACACAUUUACUGGU